rnacentral:lncRNA from 1 species
UGAAAAUCGUGUUGGGAAGAGCACUCAAUCAUGACCCUAUAUAUCUGAAGAAAGUCAAGACCUAGAAGAUAGAGGGGAGCAUCUGGCGUCCUUCCCCUCUGUUCUGAAAGGGAGAAGCUUUCCUAAAAGCAUGUAUAGUUGAAUAUUGGAGUAACAGGGCACAUUUUAAGUUCAUGUGAUGCCUAUACUUCAAACUUCCUGAAGGGCAUUGGAUUCUUAUUUAAGCUUAGAGUCUUUGCUACUAAGUUAUGACAUUAAUACCACUAAAUAAAACUUACUUUAAGCUUUCCCAUUCUUGUUGGAUCUGAAGCUAGAUCUUUCACCUCUGAAUCUUGUAGAUCUCAGAUUGAAGCAUUAUUAAGACCAUAAACCAAAUAUCAAGAGCUAAGCAGAUUGUCAAAAUGGAGUUUUGAACCCCGGACUUCAAUUCCCAGAAGUCCUUGGCCACUUCCCAAAAUGCCUUGUAACCUCACCUGAAUUCCCACCUGGGCUGAGAACAGAAAUUGUAUUUAAGCUGACUCUCCGCCUACCUCAGGUUUCUCGGCUUCUGCUUCUAGGGACACGCUUCUCCCAAGAUUUGGUAAAAGCAAAGAUCUUUUGAGCAUCCUCAGGAAUUGGAAUUGAGAAAAAAGCUGAGCAUAAAUAUACCACAGUGAAAUAUAUAGUAUGACUUGGAAUUGAAGAAAUGAUAGCAGCUAGACUCGGUACAACAGGAUGAGUCUUGAUUACAUAAUCAUUGUCUGCUCCUAAAUCCUGUAUAAAACAAUAUACAAUUUUGCCAUUCUGAUCUAAGUUUUGGGUUUUUGAUUAAAAGAAUAGGAGUAUUAAAUUCUGAGAAGCAAGGUAUUAUGAUCCCUUGUCGGAUUAGGGAUUCAAUGAUUGGUCUUAUACCCUCAAUUGCUUCUUUAGUCAAGGGAUAUUGAGGUACACAUGGAACCGAUCCUUCCUUAGUCCUCACCUUGACUAGAGUACCUGAUUUCAAUAGACCUACAUCUGUAAAAGACUUUGACCAAAGAUCUUCAGGGAUAUCCUCAGGUAUUAGAUAGACUGAAUCUAAGUCACCCUCUAAGAAUAGCAGUGGAAAAGCUUUCAG